rnacentral:rRNA from 1 species
UAGGGAAUCUUCCGCAAUGGACGAAAGUCUGACGGAGCAACGCCGCGUGAGUGAAGAAGGCUUUCGGUUCGUAAAACUCUGUUGUUAGGGAAGAAAAAAUGUAUAGUAACUAUAUACAAAAGAGACGGUACCUAACCAGAAAGCCACGGCUAACUACGUGCCAGCAGCCGCGGUAAUACGUAGGUGGCAAGCGUUGUCCGGAAUUAUUGGGCGUAAAGCGCGCGCAGGUGGUUUAGAAAGUCUGAUGUGAAAGCCCACGGCUCAACCGUGGAGGGUCAUUGGAAACUAAUAAACUUGAGUGCAGGAGAGAAAAGUGGAAUUCCUAGUGUAGCGGUGAAAUGCGUAGGGAUUAGGAGGAACACCGGUGGCGAAAGCGGCUUUUUGGCCUGCAACUGACACUGAGGCGCGAAAGCGUGGGGAGCAAACAGG